rnacentral:rRNA from 1 species
CAAUUCCUACGGGACGCAGCAGUGAGGAAUAUUGGUCAAUGGGCGGGAGCCUGAACCAGCCAAGCCGCGUGAGGGAAGAAGGUACAGCGUAUCGUAAACCUCUUUUGUCAGGGAACAAAGGCGGGGACUAGUCCCCGGAUGAGGGUACCUGAAGAAAAAGCGUCGGCUAACUCCGUGCCAGCAGCCGCGGUAAUACGGAGGAUGCGAGCGUUGUCCGGAUUUAUUGGGCGUAAAGCGAGUGCAGGCGGAUCAAUAAGUCUGAUGUGAAAGCCUUCGGCUCAAACGGAGAA